CAAAAAUUAUAAUAACAUUCGUGGCAAACGAGUACAACACGAUGCAGCGCAGAGGCGUAUAUGGAUAGGGUACCUGAUAGUCGGUCCUGCAAACGGUCAUGACUAAUCCUGGCUUAACCGCGUGUCCCACGGGCUUAACAAAGCCGAACCGAGUCUGCAUAGGGAGAGCAAAGGGGCGGCGGUAGCGGUGGCGGCGAUGCCGACGUCGGGGAACCGGGAUAGGACGAGGACGAGGGAGAGGGAGAGGAGCAGAGCGAGUUAACAGUGGGCGACCCUGCUGCCGACUGCCGACUGCCGACAGCAUUCCUACAACAACGGUGGUGCGCCGUGCGCCGUACCUACCAUCGCAGUCGGUUGCCACGCCACGCCACGCCACACGACGCAAGAAGAUGGGAACGUGGCGCGGAACAACGCCGACGCCGACGACCCCGGUGGACCAACCGUGUCGACCCGACCCGAAAUCAGGAGAACGAGGAGGACCGUUUUCGAAUCAGGCGGAAGGAAGACGGUGCCCCACGUACACGCCGGGGUUAAGAGGAUCGUUCCAGUUGCCAUGGCAACUCCCGUUCCACGCUAGCCUCGUUUCCGGUUGAACCACCGGAAACACCGGGAAGUCUUGAAGGAGGCGAAGAGGAGGACGCGGCAGCAUCGUGCGACCGACGACCGUCGCGCAAACUCGAGUAACCGAAUUGACGCGUACUUACAACAGAGGGGAACGAUGUUGUACGAGGCUACACAUGCGUUAUUAUAGGUAUACGGUAUACAGAUUCGCAAACAAUGAACGUACGUAUGUACGUACCUACGUACCGCGUGUAUUUGGUAUUAUGCAGAGAAAGAGAAGAGGGGAACGACGAUGAGGGGAGAGGGAGCAAGUCGAUAUGCACAUGUCCGUGUAGGCAGUACACAUGCCUGUAAACCUACCUAUGCCUGUGUACCUUCGCUGCACAUGCCCAGAGCUGCAGCAGAUUCUCGUGAACUUCGCCUGGCCGUGCGGCAAACUUUUAUGCUGGGUAGCUGGGCAUGCAUACACGGACAGGCACACAAAGACGGUUCUACACGGGGUAUAUAAGGUUAUAGGCGCGGCGACAAACGACGAUUGUCCGCAAAGGCGCAGCAGCCCCUCCAGCGAACCAAGGAGUUAAGGGUCGAAAUCACAUUGUCCCAAAAGGAACUACCGCACUGGAGCAGCUGCUAAUCAAAUCGGUCCGAAAAAGGUAACGGACGACGUGGUCUGAGGAACAAGGAUCCCUGCGUAACAACGUCCCGGGUUCGAGCCGAACGCAAAGGAACCCCAAGUUCCUUUGCUGCCGAGGAUGUCGUCGCUCAAAACCUCGAUGAAACCUCGAUGACCAGCCGACUUCUCGAUCGUCGAGGUGCUGUUCGAGUGGACGAGGAACCAUCAGGCGACCAAAGCAACGGCGGCGACGACGACGACUAUCGAGUUACCACCGUCUUCGUACGUGUGUGUGAGGAAUAUAAGUUGGUGUACAUGCACGUAUAACAGAGCUAGACGUACACUCUGUGAACGGUUCCGUUCCACCUCGGUACGGCGCUCCGCUUUUAUCGCGAUAAAUGGAGCUUGUAGAGCUAACCGUACACACUAACGACGACGACGACGCAGUCGUAUGUACUUUCUAUAUACGGACGCAAUUGGGUGGAGAUUCAACAACGUGUAUAUAAGCAGUGGACGAUUAAACGUAGGACGGAAUUCACUUCCGCGAAGGUAUUACAAUAUCAUACAUUGGUACGUAUAUAAUACACAAACACCGCGAGUGGCCACCCGGAUUUCGCGGUAGUUGGUUUGAACCACUGCUAUCUUCACGUACGUGCAGUACUUGGAUGUACAUACCUAUAAUGCUUAAUGCCGAUAAGACAGCGACCAAGAAUUUCAAUCAAGUGUCCUGCAGCGAGGGUCGUCGACACGAAACCAAUGCCAGCUAACUGGAACGAGAGUCUCGAUCGAAGCGACGAUGGAAAUUCCCAUAACGAACCUCCAACAGACUUGCGUACGAACGUAAAUGAUCGAAAACUAAAAAAAAAAGAAAAAAAAAUAAACGAACCAAGGAUGCAACACCUCCAGCAACCGGAGGAAGAAAAUAUUCACUCGGUCAAUUGGACGUUACGCAAGCUU